rnacentral:lncRNA from 1 species
AAGCAUUUUCGAUGUGAUUUAAAAUUAAAUCUGAAUGAUCAAUCAUGCUUUCUCCUAUAAGCAAUGAAAGCAACAAGAUUACAUCUUUAAAAGUGGGCUCUACUUUCCUGUCAUGAUUCUCUAAUUUGACAGUCAUCUCCUUUUCAGCCAACACCAUCAUUAAUGACCAGACCAAUAGUCUUGUCAAUGAAACCAAUUAAUCUUAGCUCACACAACAUGACUGUCCUUAACACAUUCUUCCUGCAUUUAAAGCUAAGAUGCAGUGCUUUCUUUGUCUCUAGCCAACCAAUUCUUCAACAUAAGGUCAUCCUCUUCUUAUUAAUUUCUUCUCCCAGCAUCCAAAGUUCAGUUUAAUAACAGACAGAUGAAGUCACAUGAGAUUAAUUUUAUUACCCCAAACUUUUAUGUGACCAUAAAUUCACAGCAAACCUUACUUAGGCAAAUCUCAAAAGUAAAUAAGUUUCUCUUCCUUUUUAAUUGUCCUGUUCCUAUCCUCUGCCAGGACCUGAGUUAACUGCUGCUAGAGAUACAAAGAUCAGUAAGAUGCAGUCCCUAAAUAUUCUGGCUGGGUGAGGUGUACAAGGCUUUUUAAAAUAAAUUUUUUUUAUUAACAGAAUAAAACAUGAUCAUUGUCUAAAUUUUGGAAACGGGUAAAAAGCAUAAAGAAAAAAUAAAAUUACUCAAUAUUGCACUAUCCAGAUAUAACCUCCUAUAACACUUUGAUGCAUUUUCUCUGGUCUUUAUACAAUUAGAAUAUUAUUGAUACGAUUCUGCAUACAGCUUUCUUUGUUGUUUAGCAUUAUACUAUAAGCAAUUCUCAUAUUAUUACAAUACUUAACAAUCAUAACUUUCAAUAACUGCAUGGUAGCACACUAUAAAUAUGGCAAGCAGCCAGCAACAGAGGAAGGCUUUCUGGAGAUGCUAAUAUUUCUACUGAAUCUUAAUGGAAUGUGUUGAUAGGGUGGAAUGGGUAGUGGGACUCAAGGAAGGGAAAAGCAUCUGAAAAGUAUUCCAGAACUACUAGAGGCAAGAGAAACAUAGGAUUUUGUCAGAAAUCUGAAAGAGUUCAGAACUACUGGAGUACAGAGUUCAGUUGGGAAUGACAGAAAACAAUACUAGAGAGAUACACAAGGGCCAAAUCAUGAAGAGGAAAGGUAACCUGGACUAUGCAAUCAUGUGCUGAGCACUAGGCACAAUUUUGUAUAUGUUGUGAAGGGCUUUCUACUCUAUGCUAGAAGUUUGAAACUUACCACUGAGGCAAUGGGAGGUGGAGAUGGAGUGGUCAAUGAGAGAUUUUAAGCUGGGAAGUUACAUGAUUAACUUGGUAAUUUACAAAAAUUGCUCCAAGAAUUAUGUUUAUGAAGAUGUUUUAAAA